GUGCUCCCUCCAGCAGCACAUGUACUAAAAUUGUGACAAUACAGAGAAGAUUAGCACGGCCCCUGAGCAAGGAUAAUACCCAAAUUCGUGAAGAGAGGUCAUCUAGC
rnacentral:snRNA from 1 species